GCACCAUCACUUUCUAGAAAUGAAUCUCAUUCUAGUCUUCACAGUAACUAUACAAAUAUACAUACAUGUGGCAUUGCCAAGCCCCAUUGAAUAGGUAUGAAUACUUAAGUGAAAGAAUUAAAAUAAUUCACCCAAGACCAUACGGCACAGGACUGCCCACCCUGCCGGCACCAUAAGGAGGAGUAGGCGGGGCAAAGGCUCUCCCUCCAGGUUGCAGCUGAGACACAGCAUUUCGGCUUCUGCUUCCCAAGACGGAGGCAGCAUGGAAGAUCCCGUGUACCCUGCAGGACCAGCAGAGCCCCGUGCCCUGGCCACCCUGCCCCCCACCCCAGGAAGGUGCCAGGCAGAGAACAGAAUAUCCUCCACCCAGAGCCAAAGCUGCCAUUCCUACCAUCUCAGAGACAAGCUGCUGAGGACAAGGACUGUGCCUUCCAAUAAACAAUUCAACUAGAAGAUGCUCAUUGAGUGAAAGUCAUACUUAAUUACCUAAUAAAUCGGACAUUGAAGUCCAGACUGUGUGACCUGCACAAUUGUUUCCCUUCAGUUAACACCAUUCUUCAUAGAGCUAAUGAGAAUCCACUGAGAAUUCCCUACAGCUGCCCUUUCUUCCGCAAAUGGAAUGGCUCCAGCUUGACCAGGCUAAGAAGCACAGUGACAUCCAUCUCAGAUGGCUCAGUUCUCAAAUUCUCAGUGGCUGGUCUUUUCAGGCUGUUUCCAGGCAGUUGGCUGAGCCAGGCUUGAGAAAUCACCCCAGGCUACCCAUCUCCUGGCGGCAAGAGAAAAGGGCUUGGUUCUUCCCCCACCUGUGGAGUCUGCACACUGGAUCCGCCCCCUCCCGUGAGUUCUGGCCAGGAAGCUUCUUGCCCUAUUCAAAUUGUUACAAAGUUCAGCUGGAGAUUUCCUUCUCCCUGUGGAAAUCCCUCCCCAACCCCCACCACCACUCCUCUGGCCACCCACCCAAUGGCUGUCUGUGGUGCCAGGCAAUGGCCUGCCUGGGGACCCAGCAAGCGCCCAGUGCCUUUCUGCAGCUUCCUGUACCCCUAUAUUGGCUCUCUAAACUGACUCAGCUCCAGGUAAGGUCAGAAACUUCUCCCGCAAACAGACCUUCAGUUUCUCCAAUGCGGGGGUGUGUUCUGGAGAGGAGACUCUCCCUGUUCCACUUCUGCAGUUGGGGCACUCACACUCUUUGGCGUGUCUCCCAGGUCCUGCAAUAGCAGUCCGCUUCCUUCAGAGGGUCUGAGGGUCCUCUGGGGAUUGCUGGUUUGUUCUUGCAUCAGCCUGGAACUAAAAUGGACAGUGCGAGCCUCUGCACACUGCUCUGACCGCGUCGGAGCUGCAAUCCAAUCCUGCCUCCUGCCCCCCAGGAGGGUUUCAAAUCUGCCUGCAUCUCUGGACACGUUUCACAUUGUCCCUGUUGCUCUUCAAGGGCAGUGCCCAAAAUGAACCACACUCUCCAGGAAUGGCUAGGGCAGCAGAGAGCCAAGCAGAGCUCUUGCUCUCUCAGACAUGUCAUGCCCCUGCUUCAGGGUAAGUCUCCCUCAGUUGACUUUGGGUUAUACCAAGCGACCCCCAGCCUCUGCACAUACAGAGAUUACAUUUUUAGGACCAAGUGUAAGACUUCACAUUUAUCCCUAGUAAACCAUCUUGUUACAUCUGGGACAUCGCUUCAGUCUGCUGAAAUCUUUCUAAAUCCUGCCAUUGUCAGCCAACAUAGUCACUAACCCUCUCAGCAAAUUUGAUCAGUAUGUUCUGUCAGUCUAUCCAUGUCAUUAAUAAAAACGUUGACUGGGACCCUGCA
rnacentral:lncRNA from 13 species